GGGCGAUUAGCUCAGUUGGUUAGAGCGUCUCGCUUACACCGAGAAGGUCGAAGGUUCGAGUCCUUCAUCGCCCACCA
rnacentral:tRNA from 1 species